CCUUAUAGUGGGGGAGUAGCCUUUCGAAAGGAAGAUUAAUACCGCAUAAGAUUGUAGUAUCGCAUGAUAUAGCAAUUAAAGGAGCAAUUCGCUAUAAGAUGGACCCGCGUCGCAUUAGCUAGUUGGUGAGGUAAUGGCUCACCAAGGCGACGAUGCGUAGCCGACCUGAGAGGGUGAUCGGCCACAUUGGGACUGAGACACGGCCCAGACUCCUACGGGAGGCAGAUG
rnacentral:rRNA from 1 species